UUUGCGGUACUCUGACCGUGCAAAGGUAGCACAAUCAUUUGCCUUAUAAUUGAAGGCUAGUAUGAAUGGUUUGACAAGAAUAUAGCUGUCUCUUUAUGGCUAUUUAGAAUUUUAUUUAUAGGUGAAGAAGCCUAUAUUUCAUUAAUAGACGAGAAGACCCUAUCGAGCUUCAAAUAAAUUAAUAGAUAUAAAUCAAUUAAAUAAUAACUAAAAUAAAAACUAUUAAAUAUUCUUAGUUAGUUGGGGCGACUGAGGAACAAUAAAAGCUUCCUUUAAGCAUUUUAAUAAACUAUACUAGUUUUAAUCCAAAAACUUUUUGAUCAAAGAAAUUAGCUACCGUAGGGAUAACAGCAUAAUCCCUUUUGAGAGUUCCUAUCGAAAAGGGGGUUUGUGACCUCGAUGUUGGACUAGAAUAUCCCAAAGAUGCAGCAGUCUUUAAAGGUUGGUCUGUUCGACCAUUAAAAUUCUACGUGAAAAA
rnacentral:rRNA from 1 species